rnacentral:lncRNA from 1 species
AUGGCAUUAAUAUCUAUGGAUACAUUUGCUGAAUUUCUGGAACGUGAUUUGAAUUUGCCUUAUUUCCCUAGAGGCGUGCCACUCCAGGAGUCUCCCUUGGUGUUGGUUGAGAUUUUUGUGGGACUUGCUGGUCAUGGGGAAUGUGAACAACCAACGCCAUGGAGGGUGGGGCAGUGGAAAAACCUCCAGAUUCAUAGUAUCCUUCUCAGAAGACCAGGGCUGGGAAUGCUGUAUGGAGGGGACAGAAGUAGCCCACCAUUAUUCACAUCGGCCUCAUGCAGAGACUACCCUAAGGAAGCAAGGUCCCUUCCAUUCCUCAUCAGAAAACAGUGGAAUAAGCCCAGGCUUCAUGUUUGGAAGAUUUCUAAAGACAGGCAUCCAUCUACCCAGGAACCUUAGCAAGCCUUCUGGAUCCUCUGAGGAAAAUCCCGAAGUGGAGAGACGGGGAGGAGCAGAAGGAGAUGUCACAGUUCUCGGCCACACUCCACGGAGGGAAGCUGGAGGCACUCAGACUGUUCCAGAUGUCAGAGUCACAGCAUGA